AUUUAACGCUGGCGGCAGGCCUAACACAUGCAAGUCGAGCGGAUGAAGGGAGCUUGCUCCUGGAUUCAGUGGCGGACGGGUGAGUAAUGCCUAGGAAUCUGCCUGGUAGUGGGGGAUAACGUCCGGAAACGGGCGCUAAUACCGCAUACGUCCUGAGGGAGAAAGUGGGGGAUCUUCGGACCUCACGCUAUCAGAUGAGCCUAGGUCGGAUUAGCUAGUUGGUGGGGUAAAGGCCUACCAAGGCGACGAUCCGUAACUGGUCUGAGAGGAUGAUCAGUCACACUGGAACUGAGACACGGUCCAGACUCCUACGGGAGGCAGCAGUGGGGAAUAUUGGACAAUGGGCGAAAGCCUGAUCCAGCCAUGCCGCGUGUGUGAAGAAGGUCUUCGGAUUGUAAAGCACUUUAAGUUGGGAGGAAGGGCAGUAAGUUAAUACCUUGCUGUUUUGACGUUACCAACAGAAUAAGCACCGGCUAACUUCGUG
rnacentral:rRNA from 1 species